UGGAUGUCUGUGAGGGUCAGGUGCAACUGC
rnacentral:piRNA from 1 species